rnacentral:rRNA from 1 species
AUGCAGUCGAACGGUCUCUUCGGAGAUAGUGGCGGACGGGUGAGUAACGCGUGAGAACAUGCCUUUAGAUUGGGGACAACAGUUGGAAACGACUGCUAAUACCGAAUGUGCCUUAGGGUGAAAGAUUUAUUGUCUAGAGAUUGGCUCGCGUCAGAUUAGCUAGUUGGAGUGGUAACGGCACACCAAGGCGACGAUCUGUACUUGGUCUGAGAGGAUGACCAGGCACACUGGAACUGAGACACGGUCCAGACUCCUACGGGAGGCAGCAGUGGGGAAUUUUCCGCAAUGGGCGAAAGCCUGACGGAGCAAUACCGCGUGAGGGAGGACGGCUUUUGGGUUGUAAACCUCUUUUAUCAGGGAAGAAUCGAUGACGGUACCUGAUGAAUCAGCAUCGGCUAACUCCGUGCCAGCAGCCGCGGUAAUACGGAGGAUGCAAGCGUUAUCCGGAAUUAUUGGGCGUAAAGCGUCCGUAGGUGGUUUAUCAAGUCUGCUGUCAAAGCGUGCGGCUUAACCGCAUAAGGGCAGUGGAAACUGAUGAACUAGAGUGCGAUAGGGGUAACAGGAAUUCCCAGUGUAGCGGUGAAAUGCGUAGAUAUUGGGAAGAACACCAGCGGCGAAAGCGUGUUACUGGGUCUGCACUGACACUGAGGGACGAAAGCUAGGGGAGCGAAAGGGAUUAGAUACCCCUGUAGUCCUAGCCGUAAACGAUGACAACUAGGCGUGGUUCGUAUCGACCCGAGCCGUGCCGUAGCCAACGCGUUAAGUUGUCCGCCUGGGGAGUACGCACGCAAGUGUGAAACUCAAAGGAAUUGACGGGGGCCCGCACAAGCGGUGGAGUAUGUGGUUUAAUUCGAUGCAACGCGAAGAACCUUACCAAGGCUUGACAUCCUCGGAACCCUGAUGAAAGUUAGGGGUGCCUUCGGGAGCCGAGAGACAGGUGGUGCAUGGCUGUCGUCAGCUCGUGUCGUGAGAUGUUGGGUUAAGUCCCGCAACGAGCGCAACCCACGUUUUUAGUUGCCAGCAUUCAGUUGGGCACUCUAGAGAGACUGCCGGUGACAAACCGGAGGAAGGUGUGGAUGACGUCAAGUCAGCAUGCCCCAUACGCCUUGGGCUACACACGUACUACAAUGCGUCGGACAAAGAGCAGCCAGCCAGCGAUGGUGAGCCAAUCUCAUAAACCGACGCUCAGUUCAGAUUGCAGGCUGCAACUCGCCUGCAUGAAGGCGGAAUCGCUAGUAAUCGCAGGUCAGCAUACUGCGGUGAAUACGUUCCCGGGCCUUGUACACACCGCCCGUCACACCAUGGGAGUUGGUCACGCCCGAAGUCGUUACUCUAACUGCUGCAGAGGAGGACGCC